AAAUUGAAGAGUUUGAUCAUGGCUCAGAUUGAACGCUGGCGGCAGGCCUAACACAUGCAAGUCGAACGGUAACAGGAAGCAGCUUGCUGCUUUGCUGACGAGUGGCGGACGGGUGAGUAAUGUCUGGGAAACUGCCUGAUGGAGGGGGAUAACUACUGGAAACGGUGGCUAAUACCGCAUAACGUCGCAAGACCAAAGAGGGGGACCUUCGGGCCUCUUGCCAUCAGAUGUGCCCAGAUGGGAUUAGCUAGUUGGUGAGGUAACGGCUCACCAAGGCGACGAUCCCUAGCUGGUCUGAGAGGAUGACCAGCCACACUGGAACUGAGACACGGUCCAGACUCCUACGGGAGGCAGCAGUGGGGAAUAUUGCACAAUGGGCGCAAGCCUGAUGCAGCCAUGCCGCGUGUAUGAAGAAGGCCUUAGGGUUGUAAAGUACUUUCAGCGGGGAGGAAGGUGUUGUGGUUAAUAACCGCAGCAAUUGACGUUACCCGCAGAAGAAGCACCGGCUAACUCCGUGCCAGCAGCCGCGGUAAUACGGAGGGUGCAAGCGUUAAUCGGAAUUACUGGGCGUAAAGCGCACGCAGGCGGUCUGUCAAGUCGGAUGUGAAAUCCCCGGGCUCAACCUGGGAACUGCAUUCGAAACUGGCAGGCU
rnacentral:rRNA from 1 species